rnacentral:misc_RNA from 1 species
UCUCAGUAGUCCACAGUAGAUGGCGUUCAGAACCAGCCGCGAAGAAUAUUUCCAUCACAGAAAAUGAAUCGAACCUUUUUCAGCAUUUUGUUUUUCUCUCUUUUGAAACGAGUGAUUAUCAGUAUCACCGUACUUUUGGUUACUCGUAUUCUUUUGGACUCUAACUGGGGCUUUUCUUUUGAAGCCGCUUUCUUUGCUCCAUUUCUUACCGACUUGCUCGAUUUUGUUCUUUCUGCCAUGGAUAGAAUUCCUCUUUCCGUCGGAGACGAUCGAAGUGGUGCUAGUUCUUCGAAACAACCUUCUUUUGAUCUCAAUGUACCCGCAGCCGAACAAGCAGUGUAUGAGCAAACGCUGGAGGAAAUAAAAAA